GAUGAACGCUAGCGGCGGGCCUAAUACAUGCAAGUCGGACGGGAUUCAGGAGCUUGCUUCUGAUGAGAGAGUCGCACGGGUGCGUAACACGUAUGUAUCCUACCUUUAUCAGGGGGAUAUCCCCUCGGGAGAGAGAUUAAGCUCGCAGAAAAUCACAGCACAGCAUUGGGUAAGGAUCGAAUAUUUAGAGGGUAAAGAUGGGCAUGCGGAACAUUAGCUAGAUGGCGGGGUAACGGCCCACCAUGGCGACGAUGGGUAGGGGAUCUGAGAGGAGGGCCCCCCAGACGGGUACUGGCACCCGGACCAGAGUCCUACGGGAGGCAGCCGUACGGAAUAUAGGUCAAUGGGCGAAAGCCUGAAGCAGCCAUGCCGCGUGCAGCAAGACGGCCCUCCGGGUGGUAGCCUGCUUUUAGAAGGGAACAAUCCCAGAUACGUGUAUGCGGCUGAAUGUACUGGAAGAAUAAGGAUCGGCUAACUACGUG
rnacentral:rRNA from 1 species